CAGGGAUAAUAUGCAUUCACUUUGCUCUGCUAGACCCUGUUCCUUGAACUCCAUCAAACUAGGCAGAUAGUUUUACAUUGGAGUGUACAAAUUAUCCCACGUUGACAGAUGUUUGUCACUUAGUAACUUCUUUCCAAGUUUUCCCCCUCCCCUAAGCUUUCUUUCCAGCUUGCUUUGUUGUUUUAAAAUAUGCAUGUCUCUCACUGGAAUGCCAGUCACGAGUGCAAACUUUGUGUCCAACCUCCCACAUGAAAUGAUCCUUUUAGAAGGAACUCGAUAUGUCUCAAUCUGCACUUCACUCACAGCCUCUGGUCCUGGCUCCAAAAUAACUCAGCAGAAAGGAGUUUCCAACUAAAAGUCCCCUUGAAUGUCUCUCAGGGAAGAAAUAUAGCUCCUAUAAUUAAAGGAGGCAACGGCCAGAGGGGGAAGGCAGCCGGCAGCCAAAAGAAAAAUUCAAUUUUGAGGAAUUUUCACCUAGAGGAAUUCAAGACCUCCAGCCCAUCAGCAAUUUCUAGGGAGGUAGAUGAUGGGAGGAGGACCAGCAGAGGGUACAACUGAAUGGACAUUUCUCUGAGAACCAAAGUGAGAUGGAGUGACUAUGGGUAGUUCCUGACUAGUGGAGGCUGAAAACCAGAGUUCCUGACAGGUAGAGGCUUAAAUUUUUAGGUACAAGAGCAAAAAAAUAACUUUCAUUUGUAACUUAACCUUGGUCAAAAACUUGGGAGGAAUUGGUUUUUCAUUUGAAAGCAUAGGAACAUUUGGGGAAAUAUCUGAUGCCUGACCUAAGACUUCUCAUCCUUUUCCAGAUAAAGAAUAAAAUACUUCAAAACUA